UGAGUGGAUAGAUAAGCUUCUUUAAAACUG
rnacentral:piRNA from 1 species